AUGCGCCCGCCGGCCAACGUCCGACAGAAGGUGCAUAUGCAUGCAUGCAUCCGCCACAACGGCUGCGUUGAUGUAAUACCGAUGCCGCCGACGAGCAGCAAACCGCCUUGCCGUGCACACAGAAAUGCAGCUUCAACCUCUAGGUCAGCUAGCAAGGCCACCGACAGGGAGCUGAUGGACUACGAGAGGCGGCGGGACAAGAUCAACGACAAGAUGAGGACUUUACAGCAACUGAUUCCCAGGUGCAGUAAGACUGACAAGGUCUCGACGCUGGAGGAGGUCAUCAAGUACAUGAAAUCACUCCAGCACCAAGUGCAGGUGAUGUCGGCCAGCCCGACGACGACGCCAAUCUUUGCGCCGUCCUGCAUGCAACUGGCGGGCUUGCAGGCUCCGGCGAUGAUGCCCCCUCGGUACCCGGUUUUCCCGACGGUGUACGCCUGUCCUCACCACGGUACGCCGCUGCUGCUGUCGCCGCCGGGGCCGCAUACUCGUCGCCAUCAGGUAGAACCUGCAAGAUCACACGGCGGCCGGCAGCAGCUAAUUGCUCAUCGUCGUCGUACGUCUUGUCCGAACGACCUCACAGGUAAAGCAUGCAGAUUCACGUAA
rnacentral:rRNA from 1 species